rnacentral:rRNA from 1 species
UAGUCUACCCGUAGGGCGUAACUCGGGCCCCGUAGAGUUUGAUCUGGCUCCGAAAGUUUUACCGGGGACCCGUAAAUUUCACGCGGGGGACCCAUAUUUUUUACUGGGAUAACUUCGGGAAACCGGAGCUAAUACCGGAUAACAUGUUGAACCGCAUGGUUCAACAGUGAAAGACGGUCUUGCUGUCACUUAUAGAUGGAUCCGCGCCGCAUUAGCUAGUUGGUAAGGUAACGGCUUACCAAGGCAACGAUGCGUAGCCGACCUGAGAGGGUGAUCGGCCACACUGGAACUGAGACACGGUCCAGACUCCUACGGGAGGCAGCAGUAGGGAAUCUUCCGCAAUGGGCGAAAGCCUGACGGAGCAACGCCGCGUGAGUGAAGAAGGUCUUCGGAUCGUAAAACUCUGUUAUUAGGGAAGAACAAAUGUGUAAGUAACUAUGCACGUCUUGACGGUACCUAAUCAGAAAGCCACGGCUAACUACGUGCCAGCAGCCGCGGUAAUACGUAGGUGGCAAGCGUUAUCCGGAAUUAUUGGGCGUAAAGCGCGCGUAGGCGGUUUUUUAAGUCUGAUGUGAAAGCCCACGGCUCAACCGUGGAGGGUCAUUGGAAACUGGAAAACUUGAGUGCAGAAGAGGAAAGUGGAAUUCCAUGUGUAGCGGUGAAAUGCGCAGAGAUAUGGAGGAACACA